rnacentral:rRNA from 1 species
UACGGGGGGGGUAAGCGUUGUUCGGAAUUACUGGGCGUAAAGGGCUCGUAGGCGGCCAACUAAGUCAGACGUGAAAUCCCUCAGCUUAACUGGGGAACUGCGUCUGAUACUGGAUGGCUUGGAUUCGGGGGAGGAAUGCGGAAUUCCAGGUGUAGCGGUGAAAUGCGUAGAUAUCUGGAGGAACACCGGUGGCGAAGGCGGCAUCCUGGACCGGUAUUGACGCUGAGGCGCGAAAGCUAGGGGAGCAAACGGG